GAUGAACGCUGGCGGCGUGCCUAAUACAUGCAAGUCGAGCGAACAGACGAGGAGCUUGCUCCUCUGACGUUAGCGGCGGACGGGUGAGUAACACGUGGAUAACCUACCUAUAAGACUGGGAUAACUUCGGGAAACCGGAGCUAAUACCGGAUAAUAUAUUGAACCGCAUGGUUCAAUAGUGAAAGACGGUUUUGCUGUCACUUAUAGAUGGAUCCGCGCCGCAUUAGCUAGUUGGUAAGGUAACGGCUUACCAAGGCAACGAUGCGUAGCCGACCUGAGAGGGUGAUCGGCCACACUGGAACUGAGACACGGUCCAGACUCCUACGGGAGGCAGCAGUAGGGAAUCUUCCGCAAUGGGCGAAAGCUUGACGGAGCAACGCCGCGUGAGUGAUGAAGGUCUUCGGAUCGUAAAACUCUGUUAUUAGGGAAGAACAAAUGUGUAAGUAACUUUGCACGUCUUGACGGUACCUAAUCAGAAAGCCACGGCUAACUACGUG
rnacentral:rRNA from 1 species